rnacentral:Y_RNA from 1 species
GGUUGGUUCAAUAGCAGAGAGUUAUCAGAACGAAUUAACAUUAGUAUCACUAAAAUUGGUAUAUAAUCCCCCACUGCUAAAUUUGACUGGUUUAAA